CUUUCACAUAGUCUUUCGGUAUACGAAUGGGCUCCAUGGCAUAGCUAUCUGGGUUAAGUCCAUUCGUGCAGGAAAAGUACCGAACAGGCCAGCGUUUGUAUGCCGGAUGACUGAGAAAGGAGGUCAGCGGCUUCAGUGGUGUUCGUGAGAAAUAGUGUCCGUUUUUAGUUCCAGAGAAUCGUUGACGAACACCACUGGGCAUUCGUGCGCCCAAGAUGG